rnacentral:rRNA from 1 species
UGGGGAAUAUUGGACAAUGGGCGAAAGCCUGAUCCAGCCAUGCCGCGUGUGUGAAGAAGGUCUUCGGAUUGUAAAGCACUUUAAGUUGGGAGGAAGGGCAGUUACCUAAUACGUGAUUGUUUUGACGUUACCGACAGAAUAAGCACCGGCUAACUCUGUGCCAGCAGCCGCGGUAAUACAGAGGGUGCAAGCGUUAAUCGGAAUUACUGGGCGUAAAGCGCGCGUAGGUGGUUAGUUAAGUUGGAUGUGAAAUCCCCGGGCUCAACCUGGGAACUGCAUUCAAAACUGACUGACUAGAGUAUGGUAGAGGGUGGUGGAAUUUCCUGUGUAGCGGUGAAAUGCGUAGAUAUAGGAAGGAACACCAAUGGCGAAGGCGACCACCUGGACUGAUACUGACACUGAGGUGCGAAAGCGUGGGGAGCAAACAGGAUUAGAUACCCCCGUAGUCCCUGAGCGGGCUGGCAAGGCGCAU